UGGGAAUCUGCCCUUGGGUUCGGGAUAACAGUUGGAAACGACUGCUAAUACCGGAUGAUGACUUCGGCCCAAAGAUUUAUCGCCCAGGGAUGAGCCCGCGUAGGAUUAGCUAGUUGGUGAGGUAAAAGCUCACCAAGGCGACGAUCCUUAGCUGGUCUGAGAGGAUGAUCAGCCACACUGGGACUGAGACACGGCCCAGACUCCUACGGGAGGCAG
rnacentral:rRNA from 1 species